AUGUCAGAAGACUAUCGUCGUAGCAAUCCAUCCAAAGUUGCAGCUGAGCAAUUGGUUCUAAUAGAUAUCAGGAAUAUGCUACAAUCAAUGGGCAAGGAGAUAGAGUCAUUCCCUCUUCCCAAUAUCCAGGAAGAAUAUGACACUUCCAUCGGUGUGACAAGGGAGAUCUUCGAGGAAUCCACCAUAGAGCUCAAUGUUGAGGACACAUAUCUAUCAGAUUCACUUAAUUCAGAUCAGAGGGCCGCAUACGAUGAAAUUAUGUCUGCUAUUGAUUGUGAUGAGGGUGGUGUCUUCUUUGUGGAUGGGCCUGGAGGCACCGGAAAGACUUUUUUGUACAGAGCACUACUCGCAAUGGUACGUGGGCAGAAAAAAAUUGCUAUAGCGACAGCUACGUCCAGUGUUGCUGCUUCCAUAAUGCCAGGAGGGAGAACAGCUCAUUCACGGUUCAAGAUACCGUUAGGCAUUGAUGAUGGUGGGUUUUGUAGCUUUACAAAAUAG
rnacentral:rRNA from 1 species